UGGAUAUUCUAUAGAGACCGAACAUCUUCGUAUGGUGGCAAACAACUAGAAGAGACUCUCUCCUAUAUGAGAUAUUUAUGUAAAUCAACAACCCACAAUCUGAUAAUAAGUUUUGAACUUGUUAAACUAGUAUUGAUAGAUAUAAGUGUUAGAUCUAGUUUACAGCAUCGAUUAGAUUGAUAUAAUUUUUAUUUUUAGAUCUUAAAUAAAUGUUAAAUCAUAUUGUAGAUCUUGAAAU
rnacentral:lncRNA from 1 species